CAAAAUAGCUCUCUGCCUGGAAGGAGACUUCAAUAACCUUAAUAAACCAGCUUGCCAAACUAUAAAGAAUGCAAUGUCCUUUUCCCUGAGUCCUACUUCAAGGCAAUAUCAUGGCGUGGAGGCAACUGGGAUCCUGGUAGCAGGAACAGCUGAGCCCUGACUCUGGAAGGCUUAGGGAGGCUACGAGAAUGGUUGGGAUGAAGGACACUGGUCCUUUGAAGGGUGUUUUUUUCCAAGUCUUUUAACUAUUUCAUAGAGAAUUAGUGCAAAGAACACUGAGCUUGAAGCCAAAAGACCUCAGCAGGAACUAUGGACCUUCCACUUGGUGAUGCUGUGUGACCUUGGACAAGUCCUUCAGCCUCUCUGAGACUCAGUUACCUUUUUUAUAGGAUGAAGAUAAUGAAACUUGUGUCAGGAUUAUGACCCAUUUUCCAUACAACUCUCAAAUGACUAUUACUAAGAUUCAGAAUCGCAGAAUCUGACCUCUGGAAUGGACCCUGGCAGCCAUCUCUCUGGUCCAACCCAUGAGAAAGGCACCUCCACCAUAACACACCUGACAAGUGGUCAUCGGCUUCUGCCUAAAGAUCGACAAGGAGGGGAAAGCCAUCAUCUCCCAAGGUGGCCAUUUCCACUUUGAGGACAGCUCUGAUUGACAGGAAGCUUCUCCUGAUGUCCAGAUCACAGUGUGCCACCCAUCGAUACUAGAUCUUCCCACUGGGGCCAAGUAAAACAAUUCUAGUCUCUUACUCUUCCUCACAAAUACUUGAAGAUGGCUACCGUGUCUUCCUGUGCCCCUUGAAUAGUCUCUAAGGCUAAACAUGCCCACAUCUCUACAUUAGCCCUAAUUUUUCUCCUGAAAUACAUUCCUGAAUUUCCAAUUGCCUGCUGGGCAUGGGUGUGUCACCUCAAACUCAUCCCUUCUAAAUUGUAACUCAUCAUCUUCCCAUCAAAACUGGCCUCUCCUGCAAAUUUCCCUAUUUCUGUUGAGGGCACCAUCUUCCUCCCAGUCAUCCAGAUCUGAAAGGGCAUCAUCUUGAAUUUUUAGAGGCAGCAUGGAAAAGCUGACAUGGCGCUAGGCUCGGUAUAAGCAAGAUCUUAGUCACUUACUAGCUCUGUGUGACCCUAGUCCUCUUAAUGUCUCUGUGCCUCAGUUUCUUUAUCUAUAAAAUGGAGGGGUAAGAGGUGUAUGUUAGACUCAAGCAGCCUCCCAAUCCCUUCCAGAUCGGAUUCUGUGAUCCUUCUCAUUUCCUCCCACCGCUGUACGUACUGCCUGCCAACCCAUCGCAUCUAGCUCCAGCCCAUCCCUUUUCUCCGUCCAUACUGUUGCCAGACCUGUCGGCAGCUUCAUCUCCUCUUGACUGAACUCUUGUGUUAGCUUCUAAACUGGUCUCCCAGCAUCUCCCAUCUCCAAUCCAUUCUCUACCUGACUUCCUAAGUAAUCUCCCUAGGCACCAAAUCUGACUAUACCAAUCCUCUGGUUAAAAACAAAACAAAACAAAAUCUUCCAUAGCUCUCUAUCACUUCUAGUAUUAAAAUAUAAACUCAAUAAAGGCCCUCCAAUCAAUCGAUUAACUAAUACUGAUUAAGGGUCUGCUACAUGCCAGGCACUGUGUUAAGUACUCUAAAAUCUGGCUAGAUGAUCCCUGAGGUUCCUUCUAUUUCUUAAUCUAGGAUACCUACAGUACUUUAUUCCCUAUAUUACAUUACAGCUAAAUGUGACUAUUACAUGCUCCCCCAAAUCCAACAUCUCACCUCUGGCUUCUAUACAUUCACUGAAGUCAUCUCCAUGCCUGCAAUACACAUGCUCUUCUCAUCUUUAUCUUUCAGAAUACCUCUCUUCCUUCAAAAGCUUAGCUCAGGGCUUCUUCCAAGGGACACCUUCCUCGGUUUUCCAGGUUUAGAGUAUUCCUUCAUUCUUCAAAUAUUUCUAUAGCGCUUUGUCCCUUCAUUCCCCAUGCUGUACUUUAUUUUUGUACGUGACAUUCUCCUCAAUAGAAGAUGAACACAGUAAAGGUAGGGUCUAUACAAUUUUUAUCUUUGUAACCCCCAGUGCCUCACACAGUUCCUUACACAUAACAGAUACUUAAUAAAAUGUUUCUUGAAUUGAAUAUGGGACAUAGCCACAGAAAAGGUUUGGGUUUGAAAUUGGAUUUUUGAAAUCAAGAACAUUUUGACUAUAAUGUUAGUGAAGGAUUCAAGGGAGGUUAGGGCUGCUACAUAUUUUCAAGGAUGAUUCUCCCCAUCGACAGCCUGGGUGAUCUCAUCCAUUCCCAUGCCCUUGAUCAUAACCUUCACAUUGAUGAAUCCCAGAUUUAUCUUUCCAUUCCCAACCCCUCCCCAUGGCUUUCUCUCCUGCAUCUUUUGCUGUCUGGCAAAUAGAGAUGGUAGGUUAUAUUAUUAUUUUCUCAAAGUUAUAGUGGUGAGAACUAAUUUCAUUUUUCCCUUUUCCAAUUACCAAUUGGGAUAUCUUGUGAAUUGGCUGUUUAAAGAAUUAUUCUUUUCUUAAUUCUGCUGGGUUAAGUUAAUGGUGCCUAGUUACCAGAGGUAAUGAAAACACAAGAAAGCAAGCCUGCAGUCACCCUGACUGUCACAACCAGAAAUAAGCUGUGAACACACUCACUGUUUCUGAUUUAACACCGACAGAAGUGUUAAAAAAAAAAAAAAAGCUUUUGUUACUGUCAGUUUUAUAAAAUAUUCUGUCCCAUCCACUGCCAAAAAAUGCCCUGUGCUCUUGGUUUAAUGAAUAACAAGCAUUAGUGUACAUAAAAAGCUAAGCCACUAUCAACAGCUGCAGUAAACCAGCCAAUAGAUGGUCUCUAACAUCAUCACUGUGAGUGUGGCUAGUGGUCACGCACUAGUCUUCACAGAGACUGAAACAACCCUAUUAGCAGGGCUUUAAAAUCAAUGAAAAAUUCAAUAGGCAAACCAGACAAUUACCAGAGUUGAAGGAGACUCAGUGGUAAUCUACUCUACACCAUCUGAACGGGAGACCCCCUUUCCCACAUGCCCCACGAGUGGUCAUCCACCCAUUGCCCUAAGAGCUUCAGGAGGGGAGAGUGCUUUACCUUCCAAGCAGCCUGUUCCACUCUGGGACUGCACUCAUCGUUCAUGUUUUUACAUUCUCCUCUACUUUGUUCUUUUUGAUAUGCUGAAAUAUUUUUAUUUGCUUAUGAUGACUAGGUUAAUCAUACGAGAGAACAAUUAAUAAUUAUAAUCGCUCUCUCCAUCAUGCCAUCGGUUGGAGAAUAGCUAAACAAAUUAUGUUCUACUGGGCUGUUGGAAAUGAUAUAAGAGGCAGCUUCAGAGAAAUCUGGGAAGAUGCAUUGUAUAAACUGAGGCCAAAUGAAGGGAACAGGCCUAGGAGAAAACAUAUACUACCUGUAAAAAUAAACAACUUUGAAAGACUUAAGAACUUUGAUCAAAGCAAUGAUCAAACCCGAUUCCAGAGGUCUAAUGAUAAAUUGUAGUACCUACCUCCUGACAGAAUGGUGAUGGAUUCAAGACACAGAAUGUGACAUGUGUUUUUAGAUAUGGCCAGUGCAGGAAUUUGUUAUGCUCGACUAUGGAUUUUUUUUAUGUGGGAGUGGAUAGCUUGUGACUUGACUCUUUAAAGAAUAUUAUUAUUUUCUCAAUUCUGCCAGGUUAAGGUAAUGGUAUUUAGUUAACAAAGAAGCAACCUAUCACCCUGAGGAGGGGGAAGACCUGGAUGGAGAGGAAAAGAAAAUAAAUUUUUAUUAACUGUAAAGGAAAAAAAAAAGCU